CCGCACCCCCAGUUCUGAAAACCUUGAAGUAAGCAAAAUCCACCAAUGGCUGAAGCCAUAAUCUCCAAACUUUCAUUUUUACUCUCGAACCGUUUCCUUAACUCCUCCUCUUCUACUUCAACUUGGUUGAACCCAUCCCAGUGCAUUGUUAGCCGGUCCGGUGUUCGUUACUACUCCCCACUGAAGAACUCUGGUUUCAAGCAGCAAAUAAUCCUCUCUUGUAGUCAACAUGACGUUCUCCAAAGUCAAGAAGAAGCAAAUAAGAAGAUACACAAUGCAUCACCUAGACAAUAUGCUGGUGUUGGAUGCGAGACUGAUGAGGAUACCUUAAGUAACCUCGGAGGUGAUUGCAGAAAGAGGAGGUUUUUCGUCUCUCUAAUCCUGGUUGCUGUGGCUUCUGAUUUCCCAAUGACCAAUAACUCCAUCAACACAAUGGCUGCUGCCCAGGACAACCAGCUCCAGCAAACACUAGAGACAGAGAGGUACACAGACGCCAAUGAGGGUUUCACUCUCCUCAAGCCUUCUUCUUGGAUGAAGGUUGAAAAGGCUGGGGCAACAGUUUUAUUUGAGGAUACUAACAAGAAGAACAACUUGGGUAUUGUAGUUAGCCCGGUUCGCCUCUCUUCUUUAGGUGACUUUGGAAGUCCCGAAUUCGUAGCAGAUAAGCUCAUCCAAGCCGAAAAACGCAAGGAAAGUACGAAGGAUGCUAAAGUCAUUGGAGUUGCUGAGAGAUUUGGACAUGGAGGCCUACAAGUGUAUGAGUUUGAGUACAUGUUGGACAGUACUAGAGGAGGAGUGAAGAGAAUAUUCUCAGCUGCGUUUGUUGCUUCAAAGAAGCUCUAUCUCCUUAAUAUUGCUUACGCGGAUCCACCUGAGAAUCCUCUAAAUACCAGCAGCAAAAUGAUUCUGGAACAAGUUCUUCACUCCUUCGACACAGCAGCAGCAGUAGAAACCAUGUAGGCAUUGUGGAGACCGUUAUUUUGGUCCAUACACCUUCACCCUCAUUCACGCCACUUUAAUGCCAUGAGGUUGUAGUUUUCUCACAUAUGGUGGUUUAGUACUUCAUGCUUGACGGGGUGGGACUGAAAAUAUCAGGACAACAAGUAUUGGAGCAGUUGUAGAAGGUUUAUAAGUAUGUUCACAUCUGCGUAGAUAUGGACUUCUCAACAUGGUGGUUUUGCUGUAAGUGUCGGGUCUGAAUUUUUCUGUUUUGAAAAAUUGUAACUUGUAAUAGUUUGUAGCUUCCAUUACUCGACUAAGUGUUGCCAAAGUGAUGCUUUGAGAGUAUGUGGAAGUGUUUUAAUGAGAAUACAUGUGAUUGUGGUGGUUUGUUUGAUUCAUUCCGAAAUUAUAAACACGAAUCUUGCCCAAAGGUGUUUUGUGUUUAUAAAAUCUGAUGUGAAUCAAGUCUCAAAUGUGUGAGAGCUUUUCAUAUGAGAAUUUAGUCUUAUAAACUUAUUAGGACUCAUUGUAUGUCGUAUUUUCUGCCCAAAGGUGAUUUGCGAUGAUAUGGAGUCUUGUUUUUGAGUUUAAGAUGUUAUUGUUUUGCUUA